ACCCAAUCGAUUCAACAUGUUUAGUCCUUCCACCUUUGUGAUCCCACACUCCUAAUCAUAUGAGCUAAAAUGUUACACACUCAAUCUUUGGAAGAUAUAUAAGAAACAUAAAUAUAGAUAGAUUAUCUUUCCAUUAGGUUGAGUGAUCUGAUCUGACAAUUGUUUUAAAUGCUACACUCAUGAGCUUAUCACCCAUCAACUUUGUCUUGCUCCCUAUGCUUAAGGAUAGAGAAGGAUAAAUAUACUUUUGGUUCUGUUGGUGUUUUCCACCAACAGGACCCAUGCACUUGAUCUCUUCCUUGUCUCUAUGAGCAGGACACAUUUUGAGAAACAUGGAGGAUUUUUAAACUCCUAGACUCUACCAAGUGAAGGACGUGGAUCUACGAGCACAAAUAAACUGAGCAAGAUACUGCCAACGCAGCACUUCGAACUGCUGGGCAAACGAAGAACAUGGGUGACACUGCAUCAAGAGGUGCAGACGUCAAGGUCCACACCUGAAUCAAACGACGCACCUGAAGAAUGAACACGGUGAGAAGUCUUGUUCAGAAGACUUAAAACAUUGAAUCCUCGCCGAAAGGUAAAAACGGUAGUUAUCCAUAUUUAUCCUUUUUGAAUUCCCUUUUCCCUUAAAUUAUUUACUUUCCUUAAAUACCUUGUUAGUUAAUCAUGCUAUCUUGAAAAGAAAAUAAAAAUGUUAAAAAUAGUAAGCCCCAUGUGAGUAUGCUCGUGGCAUAAAACCCAUAAGUACAUUCACUGUGGUGGCGUAAAAAUAAAAAUAUUCAUGUCCUAUGAAAAUGAAAAUAUAAAAAUAAAUUUAUGAUCCUACCAAAGAGAGUAAUAUUUAUUAGAGGAAGCUCAACAUGAUAAAGGCAAAGAUAUUUUUAUGCUAACACUUAACCAGUUCCACAAAGCUUUGUUGUCUAUUUGAGCUCCACAGAAUUUAAGGAUCAAAGAAGACUAGCAGACGGAGGACAUCCUAAUCACUGUCAGGGUACUGCCGACAUUCAAAUACACCUCUGCCACCUGCUAGCUACAUCAGAAGAAAUUACAUCAAAAUCCACCUUGGGGGGAGAGCACCCCAUUUAUCCAGCUAAGUGUUUCUACUCGCGUUUAUACUUUACUCAAAUAAUAAAAAGAUGCAUAAUCAUAAACACCCAAAUAAAGAUUUUUGGGCUUAUAUAUAUAUAUAUAUCUUUGCUUAGUUUGCUAAAUAAAUAAAUAAAGUUUGCUAUGAACCCUCAUGAUAAGCUCUCACAUGGAAAUGAUGAAUAGUUGCUCUGCCAUGACUAGUUCUCAAAAUUGAAAUCUCUCUCAAGUUUAGGCAUGACUGUUAUGAAUUAAGAAUUGCUCUAAACCUGAACUUGUGGGAAGAGUACUUGAUCUAAAGUCUAAGUCGUUAACGGAUAUGAUAUGGGAAGGUUGAUCUGCUGUUUAUCUGUUCCUAGAGAUGCUAGAAUUCUAGAGAAUUUUAUCUUUCAAAAUCUUUAAAAUGUUGCAUGAUGAGUUCUUGUAUGAUGAGAGUUUAAAAUCCUACCACAGCCAUAUAUACAUGCUUAUUAGACUAUGAACCAUAUAUGUACUUUUUACUGCUUAUGAGCAUUGUGGUCAAGCUGUGUAGACCCUUAGGAGCUUGUCAUGCGGUUAAAAUCAAGAUUCACUUGCACGUUCACUCAUACAUGCUGCUUCUACUCCGGAAGUACGCAUCCACAUACAUCCACUCAUUUCCAUCUCUAGAUUCACCCAAAAUAUAUUCUACUCCUAUCCAGGAGAGAAUAGCCAAAAACAUUAUCCUAUCCCUGUUAUUCCCCAUGAAAUAAAUGCUCGAGAUAUUUUGGUUACUACCACUUGCUACAUUAUUCCAGGAUUGUGAGUGCUCUAAAAAAGAGAGAAAAAAAGUUAAAAUCAGGAAAUAAAAAGGGGCAAGUGCCCGGAACCUCGAAGAAAAAAAAGAGUGAGACGAGAGGUAAAAAUGGACAAGUGUCCGAUAGUAGAAUUAGGGGUACAAGAUACCCACCUGAGAGAAAAGAAAAAAAUAUAGAGCAUCUCAUUCCCCUCAAAAAGCUUCAAAGUGCAAAAAAGGUAUGUAUCCCCUCAAAAAAGCAAAAGUAGAAUUAGACUUUCACCAUUGUUUUCACCACUAUCACCAUCAUCACCAUACACCAUUCAUUCGCCACACAUGCAUAUCUUGAUUUGACUUAUUGACUUGUUUCUCUGGAUCCAUGGUUUGACUAUGCAAUAAAUGUCUUGUAAGUAUGUAUUAGCUGUCUCCCACCUAUGAGCUCCAGAUAUCAAAACCUUAUUAGAGUAGGGUGAGAGAGAAGGCAAUGUCACUAUGCCUCAUACCAAAAAUAUCACAUGCUUUGAGAGAAGGCAAAUACCAUCACUGCCUUGGUAAGGAUCCAAAAAUACCACAAAAGAGAGAAUUGAGAGAGUCAUACAAGGAAUCUCUGAGUUUUAUUUUGAAAAUCUGCAAAAAACUCCAGAGCUAUAGCUGAUCAAGAAUAAGAGACAUGGUGCUUGACUAGACUGUUCUAUCUUUUUACUGCUCAAGACACAAGUGACGAUUGCAAGCCCCAUGGUGGAAGGAAAAAUGAGUAAGUUUAAAUCUUAACAGUUUACCCUAACCCAGAGAUGAGAUCUUGUUUGAACGCAUGUGUACCUUUAAGGCAUGAAACCAUUGCAGAAACUCUUGAGUCCAUCCUUGCUCAGGGACGAGCAAGAGGUAAGCUUGGGGGAGUUGUUGACGGUCCUUAAUUACCAAAUUUAAUCAUCAAAUAAAUAAAGAAAAGGAUCCAAAUGCAACCAACACCCAAACUUAGGGUUUUAUCUGACAGAACUCCACGAGUUUUGGUGUUUGUCUAUAUAUGCAGGGGGUUAUCAGGAAAUAUGUAGGAAAGGCCCACAUGUCGGGUUUACAUAGAGAUAUUAACAUGCCGCGCAAUUUUCUAUCAUCUAGAAGACUCUAGAAGCCACGGGAACGAACGGGAAGCCGAGCGGGCUCAGGGACGGGGCGCCCGCCCUACUCCUUAGGGCGCCUGCCCUACUUUUUCCACCAAUCAUGAUCAACCUCGCGGAUUAUGCUCCACCGACCUAAAGGAUCAAGGAAAACCGUGCGAUUAAUGUCAGUUUGAUCCGACGGCCCAGAUUCACUUGAGUGGACUAUAUAAGUAGACCCCCUGGCCUCUGGAGGAGGCACCCCUUGAUCCCUAUUCAUUAUUCAUAGACAGAGCAAAAGCUAGGGUUUGGAAAUGAGAGCUAUCCUCUCUUCUAUAAACUAGAGUAGAUCUAGAUAGUAGCGAGAUGGAGAGCGAGGGAGGAUUGGAGGAGAGGCCAGCCUAUUGGUUCUUCCUCCGGUUGUACUUCGCCAUGAUCAAGCUCUAAUCAAGCUUUCUCAUGGGAUGACUCUGGUAAUUGUUGACGGUCCUUAAGUAUCAAAUUUAAUUAUCAAAUAAAUAAAGAAAAGGAUCCAAAUGAAAUCAACAUCUAGACUUAGAGUUUUAUCUGACAGAAUUCCACGAGUUUUGGUGUUUGUCUAUUUCUGCAGGGGGUUAUCAGGAAAUACGGAAGAAAGGCCCACAUGUCAGGAUUACGUAAAGAUAUUAACGUGCUGCGCAAUUAUCUUACAUCUAGAAGACUCCAGAAGCCACGAGACCGAAGCGGAGGCGAAACGGGGCCAGAGGCAGGGCGCCCGCCCUGUCCUACUGGGCGCCCGCCCCCUCCAGGAGUCCAAUGAGGACUCUGCUUUGCGGGAGAUCUCCACCGACCUAAAUGAUGAAUCUAAACCAUACAAUCUAUGUCGGUUUGAUCCAAUGGCCCAUAUUCACUUGAAGGGACUAUAAAACCAGACCCCCUGGCCCCUGGAGGAGAGAGCCUCUCAACCCUAAUUCAUUGUUCCAUCAAGGGAGAAGAAGCCUCUGAUCAAGAUUAGAGCCACCACAUCAAUUAGACAUCUAGAUUAGCAUAGCUACAUACGAUUAGAACUAGAAGGAGUCAAUCUUCGAUUGGUUUCCGGAUCUGUCAGGAGGAUUCUUGGUAAUUCUCUAAUUGUGCUUCUAAUUGCUUUCUAAUUAUCUUUGUUCUUCAAUAUUAUGAAUAUGACUUUGUUCUACUUCAAUAUAUUGCUUAUGACUUUGCUCUACUUGCUUAUAUUCAAGAUUAUAUUGUUCUUAGUUUAUCAUAGUUAUGUACUUGGCUUAGUUAGAUUCGAUCUAUAUACAUGCUUAGGAUCAUAUAGCGUUUAUCCAUCGGAUCCAUGGGUAAAUGAUAGAUAUUGUGUAGGCGUGGUGCUUAUACCGUAUUUAUCUGCGAUUGUACCCAAUAUGCCAGAUCGUGGGGUGGUUCGUGAUAGUGACAGCUUCAUUGAUUCUUAUAUAGUCCCCCUCUCGUGUAUUGGGCUGGCAGAGCAACAUUAUUACAGGGGAGUGAUUGCUAUGUUUCUCAUAUUCCUUGCUAAUAUCACUAUGCAUGGGCGUAGUCUUGUCUCACAAUGAUUGCUAAGUAUGCUUGCACUAACUAUGAUAUGCUAGACUAUAUAGUUAAGAAUAACUUAGGGAAUAUUCUUGUAGUUCGUUCUAAUACCAUGCUAAUGACUUUCUAGAGUAUCUAAUUGAGGUGGUUAUCAUAUUUAUUAUGUGGCUAGAUCAGAUUAGUUAUCCUUGUCACUAUUAUUACUUCAUAUAUCUUUUAUGUGACACUUAUCCCUGUAUGAAGAGUUAGAUAUAAUGUUCUCAAUUAUACAUGCAAUGAUAGAUGCUCAAUCUCAUAUUCUAUUCUGUAAUCAACAAUGUUAUCCUAAACGCUAAACAGUAAACAGUCAGUCACCGUUCGUUUAGCGUUUAAACUGUUUAGACGGUGUUUAAACGGAUUAAAACGGUCUAAACGGUUUUACACAAUAUUACAAAAAUGUGCAUAUUUUUUAAUGUAAAAUCAAUCAUUCUAUCAUUUAUACAUAUUUAUGCAACUAAAAUCCAUUUAUUUUAUUAUGUAUAUAUGUUUAUGCAUGUUAGAAUAAUUAAAUAUACAUAUUUAUGCAUAUAACAAAUCAAUUUUAUAUAUUUAUAAAUAUAAUAAAUUUAAGUAUACAAAUUGUUAAUAUAAAAUUCAACUAGAUUCACCUGGUGUUUGCCUAAACGGCCGUUUAAACAGCCGUUUAACACCGUUUACAACCGUUCCGAGUAGGCCGUUUAGACCGUUUUCCCCGUUUUUUGACCGUUUAAACGGUCAACCGUUUAAUUUCCCGUUUACCCCCUAAACAAAACAGUUUGCCACCGUUUACCGUUUAAUGACCGUUUAAUCGGCCGUUUAGGCGAACACUGGUAAUCAAUAGUGAUGAUUUCUAAUCCCUUCCCAGUGGUAAAAAUAUAAAUAACGAUACCUGGAAUACUUCCUGGUUAAAAUGCUGCAUCGGUAUUAAUCUGUGCGCUUGCAGAUCCCAUUCAUUAUUUAUUUAGAAGAGCAAUUGCAUAUUUCAAUACCGCGUCUCUCAUGUCAUGCUGGGGAUGACAACUUGGCUUAAGUGGUGUGAGGGAUAGGUUUGGCAUUUUUGGCACCGUUACUAGAUUUAGAGAACUUAGUCUACUUUUGGUAAUGAUGUUAAGAACACCCAACAAGCAUUUUUGGCGCCGUUGCCGGGGAAGGUUGAUUACUAAUCAGGAAUGGAAUAAAAGAUUUUGAGUUAUCAUUCGCAUCGCUUAUCUAUUCUCUCAUACAGUUUUACCCCGAUAUUUUCCUAUUUCAUCUUAUGCAGGGGAAUGUAUGAAUAGAAGACAUCUUCCAGGAAAUUUUGUUGACAAUCCUGAAGCAUUAUUCAAGAAGACGAGAGCAAAGCUCAAGAAGAAAUCAUCAACACUUCACGAAGAAGCUUCAUCCAAUCAAGAAGAUCACCGGAACUUGUCUUCAGAGUUCGAAGCCAUGGCGAACAAAUCAAUCCGCGAGUUCUCAGCUCCCACUACGGACAAUAUCCGCACUGGACCUGCUGCAGAGAUCGACGGCAACUUUGAGCUCAAGCCUGGACUUAUCAACAUGGUGCAAUCCAACCAGUUCUGUGGGAAGGCACACGAAGAUGUUAGUGCUCAUUUACAACACUUCAUGGAGAUUUGCAACACAUUCACCAUACCAGGAGUUUCCAAAGAUGCUAUACUACUUCGCCUCUUCCCAUUCUCACUGUUAGGAAGAGCGAAGUAGUGGUUCUACGCUACAAAGGAGAAGAAUACUAUGUGGGCACUCUGCUCAACAAACUUCCUGGCUAAGUUCUUUCCCAUGGGCAAGACCAAUGCUCUCCGUGGGAAGAUUACAAGUUUUCAGCAACAAAAUGAUGAAUCUGUUCUAGAAGCAUGGGAGCGCUUUCAAGACUACAUCCUAGAAUGUCCCCAUCAUGGAAUGGAGAGUUGGCUACUGAUGCAGACGUUUUAUCAUGGGCUCAGCAACAGUGCCCGAGAGACCAUGGAUGCUGCAGCUGGAGGAGCAUUCUUAUCACUUACUAUACCACAAGCCACAGCUCUUGUGGAGAAGAUGGCGUCCAAUCAAAGCUGGAAUGAAGAGAGGACCCAGACACGCAAGAGAGGUGGAGGUAUGCAUCAGCUGAAGGAGGUAGACAUGCUGUCUGCAAAGCUAGACCUGCUCAUGAAGAAGCUCGACGAUAGAGCUGGAGACAAGAAAGAAGUUAUGCACAUCUACGACUCUCACAUGACUUGUGAGGAGUGUGGAGACACUGGACACUCAGGCAACCACUGCCCUGAGAUGCUUGAGGAUGUAAACUACAUCAACAACAACUACUACUACUACUACAACCGUCCUCAACAAAAUCAAGGUUGGAAUCAACAAAGGCCUAACUACUCAGGUAAUUAUCAAGGUAACAAUUCUUACAACAAUAAUAAUAAUUUUCCACCUCUCAGAGAGUUAGUGUCUAAUCAAGGAAAGCUAAUGGAUAAUCUAUCUAAGAAAUUGGCAUCUAAUGAUAAAAUGCUAGAAAAUAUAAAUAAUAGAAUGGAUAAUUUUUCUACUGCCAUCAAGAAUCAAAUUAGCUUUAAUAAAAUGAUUGAAUCCCAGUUAAAUCAAAUAGCUGCUGCUGUUCCUACUACUAACCCCGGUAUACCAUCACAACCGGAAGGAUUAGAAUCUGUAAAUCUUGUAGACAUGUUUGAUGCAGGUAAUUGGAGUAACCCCAUCAAUGAAUUCUCUACUGACCUUCUGCCGGUCAAGAGAGGCGAUCCAGGACGCCCCGUCAUCCCGAUCUCCAUCGGCAUGGUGGACGUUCCAGAAGCACUCUGUGACUUUGGCUCCAGUGUCAACAUUAUACCUAGGGUACUCUAUGAAAAAUUCUUUACAUAUCCUUUAUUAGAGACAACCAUGUGUUUGCAGUUUGCAGAUCAGACGAUAACUUUCCCAAAAGGAAUAGUGAAGAACCUUUGUGUCCGAGUUGGUACCUUAUAUGCCCCAGCAGACUUCGUAGUGGUAGAGACCGGUAAUGAUGAGAGAGCACCCAUCAUCUUAGGGAGGCCAUUCUUGAACACCACGGGAGCUAUCAUCUACGCUAGUGCUGCCAAGAUCAGUUUCUACGUCAAAGGGAGGAAGGAGACAUUUUUCUUCAAGAACAAGACUACACAAAUUCAAGAUUAAUCCAGACGUAAAUCAAGGAAGAGGACCAACAGGAGAAACAGGAACAAGCAAGUGUGGACCGAGUCAGCUAAGAUGGUCACUGUAGUUCAUGGAGGCCAAGAUCAUCAACUCAAGUCACCGCUUUUGACCAAGAAGGACGACCCAGGAAUGCCAAGCAUUUACUGCUCCAUAAAUGGAUACAACUUCUACAAGACGUUUUGCGACACCGGAUCGGGCGUCAACAUAAUGGUCGCAGUCACCUAUCGGCUCUUGUUCGGAACCAUGCCACUAAGACCAACAUACAUUCAACUCCAGAUGGCAGAUCAGACAUUUCGAGAAGUCAAAGGAAUAGUAUCUGAUGUCCCAGUCAAAAUAGACGAUCACUUUGUCUACACAGACUUUCAAGUUGUUGACAUGGGAGAAGAUGAGUAUGAUCCACCCAUCAUCCUUGGAAGACUGUUCCUCAGCACCGUUAAAGCAAUUAUCUACAUUGGAACCGGAGAAGUCCAUAUGCACUUCCCCUCAGAGAAGGUACGCCGUUACUUUACUGACCCUAACUAUAUCGUUGAAGAAUCUAAGCAGGUAAGAAAGCGACGCAACUGCAACCAGAGGAGGCAGAUCAUCAAGGACGGAUGGGCAGACUAUGAAGGAGAAGUUGUAAGAUCAGAAGACGUAGAGUUUAAACAGAAUUAUCCAGAGGAGAUUGAAGCACCGAGUCAGGUAUGGAAAAUGAAGAUAACUAUACAUGAAGAGGAGGCGCUGCCGGAAGUACCGACUACGCCACCCAAUGAACCUCAGGACGAUUAAGAAAAUGGAGAGUCCCAUUCGGAAGACUUAAAAACACUGAACGCCUUGCCAAGAGGUAAACUUGGUAGUUAUCCUUUCCCUUUCAAUUAUUCAAAUAGUUUACUUAGUUAAUCGUGUUCGUACUAUUCUAAAAAGAAAAUAAAAAAAAUGUGAAAAACUAUAAGCCCCAUGUGAGUAGACGAGUGGCAUAAAAUCCAUAAGUACAUUCACUGUGGUGGCAUAAAAAUAAAAUAAAUAUUUUUCUGCUUUAUAAAAAUAAAAAUAUAAAAAGAGGGAGUAAUAAUUAUUGAGGAGUCUCAACAUGAUAAAGGCUAGAUAUUUAUGCUAACACUUAAUCAAGUUCCACAAGCUUUGUUGUCUAUUUGAGCUCCACAGAAUUUAAGAAUCAAGAAGACUAGCAGACGGAGGACAUUCUAAUCGCUGUCAGAAUGCUGCUGACUUUCAAAUACACCUCUGCCACCUGCUAGCUACAUCAAGAGAAAUUACGUCAAAAUUCAGCUUGGGGGAGAGCACCCCCAUUUAUCUCGAUAAGUAUUUCUAUCUAUUUUCAUACUUAUAUUAUAUUAGAAUAUUAAAAUACAUAAACUAGGAAAAACCAAAUAAAGAUUUUGUGCUUAUUUAUCUUUUGCUUAGUGUGUUUAAUAAAUAAAUAAAGUGGCUAUGCUAAUCUGUAUCUAAAUAAAACUUAAGCAUGGAUAUGAUAAAUAGUUGCUCUGCCUAAUUUGCACAUUUGAAGUUCUCUCUCAAGUUUAGAUAUAACUGUUAUAAUUUAAGGCUUGCUCUAGACCUAAACUUGUGGGAUGAAAACUUGAUCUGAAGUCUAAGUUGUUAACGGAUAUGAUAUGGGAAGGUUGAGCUGCUGUUUAUCUGUUCCUAGAGAUGCUAGAAUUCUAGAGAAUUUUAUCUUUGAAAAUCUUUAAAAUGUUGCAUGAUGAGUUCCUGUAUGAUGAGAGUUUAAAUUCCUACCACAGCCAUAUAUACAUGCUUGCUAGACUUUGAGCCACACAUUUAUUUACUGCUUAUGAGCAUUGAGUGUGGUCAAGCUGUGUAGACCCUUAGGAGCUUGUCAUGUGGUUAAAUCAAGAUUUCACUUGCACGUCCACUCAUAUAUGCUACUUCUACUCCAGAAGUACCAUCCACAUAUAUCCAUCCUUUCCAUCUCCAGAAUCACCCAAAAAUAUUCUACUCCUAAUUUGGGAGAGAAUAACCAAAAAUAUUUCUGUUUCCCCUUGUGAAAUAAAUGCUCAAGUUAUCUUGUUACUACCACUUGCUAUAUUAUCUCAAGAGAUGAAUGCUCUGAAAAAAAAGAGAAAAAGAAAAAAGAAAAGAUACGAGGAAAUAAAAAGGAGCAAGUGCUCGGAACCUCGAAAGAAAAGAAAAAGUGAGAUGAGAGGUAAAAAUGGACAAGUGUCCGACAGUAGAAUUAGGGGUACAAGAUACCCACCUGAGAGACAAGAAAAAGAAGAGCAUCUCAUUCUCCUCAUAAAGUUUCAAAAGCAAGGAAGGUAUGUAUCCCCUCAAAGAGCAAAGUAGAAUUAGACUUCCACCAUCAUUGUUUCCACUAUUGUUGUCACCAUCAUCACCAUACAUCAUUCAUUCGCCACACAUGCACAUCUUGAUUUGGCUUAUUGAUUUGUUUCUUUGGAUCCAUGGUUUGACUAUGCAAUAAAUGUCUUGUAAGUAUGUAUAUUUUAUCUCCCACCUAUGGGCUCCAGAUAUUAAAGCCUUAUUAGAGUAGGGUGAGAGAGAAGGCAAUGUCACUAUGCCUCAUACCACAAAUACCACAUAUCUUGAGAGAAGGCAUAUACCAUCACUGCCUUGGUAAGGAUCCAAAAAUACCACAAAAGAGAGACCUGAGAGAAUCAUACAAGGAAUUUCUAAGUUUUAUUUGAAAAUCUGCAAAAAAAACCCCAGAGCUAUAGCUGAUCAAGAAUAAGAGACAUGGCACUUGGCUAGACUGUUCUAUCUUUUAACCACUCAAGACAGAAGUGACGGUUACAAGUCCCAU
rnacentral:lncRNA from 1 species